GUCCGGGACAGGUUCUUUGGGGGGCGCAGCUAACGCAUUAAGUUAUCCGCCUGGGGAGUACGCCCGCAAGGUUAAAACUCAAAGGAAUUGACGGGGGCCUGCACAAGCGGGGGAGCAUGUGGUUUAAUUCGAAGCAACGCGCAGAACCUUACCAGCGUUUGACAUGUCCGGACGAUUCCCAGAGAUGGGUCUCUUCCCUUCGGGGACUGGAACACAGGUGCUGCAUGGCUGUCGUCAGCUCGUGUCGUGAGAUGUUGGGUUAAGUCCCGCAACGAGCGCAACCCUCGCCUUUAGUUACCAUCAUUUGGUUGGGUACUCUAAAGGAACCGCCGGUGAUAAGCCGGAGGAAGGUGGGGAUGACGUCAAGUCCUCAUGGCCCUUACGCGCUGGGCUACACACGUGCUACAAUGGCGGUGACAAAGGGCAGCCACUCUGCGAGGAGGAGCUAAUCCCAAAAAGCCGUCUCAGUUCGGAUUGUUCUCUGCAACUCGAGAGCAUGAAGGCGGAAUCGCUAGU
rnacentral:rRNA from 1 species